CUACGGGUUGCUGCAGUGGGGAAUCUUGGACAAUGGGCGCAAGCCUGAUCCAGCCAUGCCGCGUGAGUGAAGAAGGCCUUAGGGUCGUAAAGCUCUUUCGCCAGAGAUGAUAAUGACAGUAUCUGGUAAAGAAACCCCGGCUAACUCCGUGCCAGCAGCCGCGGUAAUACGGAGGUGGUUAGCGUUGUUCGGAAUUACUGGGCGUAAAGCGCGCGUAGGCGGAUUAGUCAGUCAGAGGUGAAAUCCCAGGGCUCAACCCUGGAACUGCCUUUGAUACUGCUAGGCUUGAGUUCGAGAGAGGUGAGUGGAAUUCCGAGUGUAGAGGUGAAAUUCGUAGAUAUUCGGAGGAACACCAGUGGCGAAGGCGGCUCACUGGCUCGAUACUGACGCUGAGGUGCGAAAGUGUGGGGAGCAAACAGGAUUAGAUACCCCGGUAGUC
rnacentral:rRNA from 1 species